AACGCGAAGAACCUUACCUACCCUUGACAUCCUAGGGAUCUAGCAGAGACGUUAGAGUGCCUUCGGGAACCUAGAGACAGGUGCUGCAUGGCUGUCGUCAGCUCGUGUCGUGAGAUGUUGGGUUAAGUCCCGUAACGAGCGCAACCCUUAUUCUUAGUUGCCAGCCAGUAAAGUGGGGAACUCUAAGGAGACUGCCGGUGACAAGCCGGAGGAAGGUGGGGACGACGUCAAGUCAUCAUGGCCCUUACGGGUAGGGCUACACGCGUGCUACAAUGGGCGGUACAAAGGGAAGCGAAACGGUGAUGUGGAGCGAAUCCUAUAAAAGCCGCUCUUAGUCCGGAUUGGAGUCUGCAACUCGACUCCAUGAAGUUGGAAUCGCUAGUAAUCGUAGAUCAGAACGCUACGGUGAAUACGUUCCCGGGCCUUGUACACACCGCGAGC
rnacentral:rRNA from 1 species